rnacentral:rRNA from 1 species
AAUGUAAUAGGAACGGUGAUCUUUGUUGGUGAAACAGAAACUGUUGGUGCAAAUGGAUUCAGAAAAAGAACAGUUGCUGUUGAAACUGAAGGACAAUAUCCACAACAAAUUGGAAUUGAAUUUGUUCAGGACAAAGUUGAUGUUCUUGACAAUUAUUCUGAAGGACAGAAAGUUGACAUUGCUGUGAACAUUCGUGGAAACGAAUACAAUGGAAAAUAUUUGAUGUUGGUUAUCGGUUUAAACUUUCAAUACGAUGAAGAAUGGCGAAAACAUUCUGAGUAAAGAAGUGAGUACAAAGUACUAAGGUGCUAAAGUAACUAAUGUUAUACUUCCUAGAAAAGCUCGAUCUAUCUUAAACUAUAAAUACCUGUACCCGAAACCGACACAGGUAGGUAGGUAGAGUAUACCAAGGGGCGCGAGAUAACUCUCUCUAAGGAACUCGGCAAAAUAACCCCGUAACUUCGGAAGAAGGGGUGCCCUUUGAAUAGGGUUGCAAUAACCAGGCCCAAGCGACUGUUUAUCAAAAACACAGGUCUCCGCUAAGUCGUAAGACAAUGUAUGGGGGCUGACGCCUGCCCAGUGCCGGAAGGUUAAAGAAGUUGGUUAACAUUAUUGUAAAGCUAACAACUGAAGCCCCGGUGAACGGCGGCCGUAACUAUAACGGUCCUAAGGUAGCGAAAUUCCUUGUCGGGUAAGUUCCGACCCGCACGAAAGGCGUAACGAUUUGGGCACUGUCUCAGAGAGAGACUCGGCGAAAUAGACUUGUCUGUGAAGAUGCGGACUACCUGCACCUGGACAGAAAGACCCUAUGAAGCUUUACUGUAACUUGGAAUUGGGUUUGGGUUUUUCUUGCGCAGCAUAGGUGGGAGGCUGAGAAAAUAAAUUUGUGGAUUUAUUAGAGCCGUUAGUGAGAUACCACUCUGGAAAAACUAGAAUUCUAACCUUGAAAGCCGUUAACCGGCCAAGGAACAGUUUCAGGCGGGCAGUUUGACUGGGGCGGUCGCCUCCUAAAAGGUAACGGAGGCGUACAAAGGUUUCCUCAGGCUGGUUGGAAAUCAGUCGUAGAGUGUAAAGGUAUAAGGAAGCUUGACUGUAAGACUUACAAGUCGAGCAGAGACGAAAGUCGGUCUUAGUGAUCCGACAGUGCCGAGUGGAAGGGCUGUCGCUCAACGGAUAAAAGUUACUCUAGGGAUAACAGGCUGAUCUCCCCCAAGAGUUCACAUCGACGGGGAGGUUUGGCACCUCGA